rnacentral:rRNA from 2 species
UACAGAGGUCUCAAGCGUUGUUCGGAAUCACUGGGCGUAAAGGGUGCGUAGGCGGCGGGGAAAGUCAGAUGUGAAAUCCGGAGGCUCAACCUCCGAAUUGCAUCCGAUACUCCCUCGCUAGAGAUUUGUAGAGGAGCUUGGAAUUCUCGGUGUAGCAGUGAAAUGCGUAGAUAUCGAGAAGAACGCUCGCAGCGAAGGCGAAGCUCUGGGCAAAUUCUGACGCUGAUGCACGAAGGCUAGGGGAGCAAACGGG